rnacentral:rRNA from 1 species
AAUCAACGCUGGCGGCGUGCCUCAGACAUGCAAGUCGAACGCGAAAGUCCCCUUCGGGGGACAAGUAGAGUGGCGCACGGGUGAGUAACACGUAGGUAAUCUACCUUCGGAUGGGGAAUAACAACCGGAAACGGUUGCUAAUACCGCAUAAUGCAGCGGCACCUAAUGGUGACAGUUGUUAAAGCGGGGGAUCGAAAGACCUCGCGUCUGAAGAGGAGCCUGCGGCGGAUUAGCUAGNGGUAAGGUAAUGGCUUACCAAGGCGACGAUCCGUAGCCGGCCUGAGAGGGCGGUCGGCCACACUGACACUGACAUACGGGUCAGACUCCUACGGGAGGCAGCAGUCGGGAAUUUUGGCAAUGGGCGAAAGCCUGACCCAGCAACGCCGCGUGAAGGAUGAAAUCCCUCGGGGAUGUAAACUUCGCAAGAACGGGAAGAAAUAAGUAGGGGACAACUACCCCCUAUGAUGACGGUACCGUUUGUAAGCUCCGGCUAACUCCGUGCCA